CUCUACCGUCGCCCUGCGCCCUUCGCUCUCCACUGUACUCUCUCUCCCUUCGUUUUCUCGUUUUUCCCCUUUGACGGAUACUUCCUUGACGCGGCUCUUUCUGUCCUUGUGUGUGUUUGCCUGUCAGUGCAUGCCCACCUCCCACGCACUCCUCGUAGCUCGCACAUGCACUCCGUGUAGAAACGCUGCCCGCGCUGUCGAUUCCUUUCGUUUUUAACUUAUUUUUCAGUUUGUUUCGCUCGUGGGAGUGUGCGACGCAAGCGAAUGAUACAGCACUAAAGUGAGGACACGACAAGAGCUGCUACCUUUAGUGAAGCGACACGGUCAACGUCCUUUCUGUACCUCCGCAUCUGUCUCUCAAGUUUCCCCACCUCUCCCUCUUCCUCUAUAAGCAUCCCCACCCCGUGUCUUUGCGUCUUUUUAGCUGCACCUCGCCACUCACACGAUCACGUCGACCAACCGGCACGGUGCCCUCCUUUCCUACCUCACCUCUCCUUCCUUAGUUGCUUCCGGUCCAAGAGCCAUUGCCAUGCUUUAGCAGUCUUUUCUCCACCUCCUUCUUCAGCCCUGCCUUCCGCGCUCCCUUAUUCUUGCGUGUGCGCUUGUCGGCCAGUCUACUACCCACUCACUCUCUCCCGGUGCACCGACACGCCAAGAAAACACGGAGCGUGAAGGGAGAGAGAGGAAAUAAAGACCGCACAUACGGCACAAGCAUCGACCCCAGCGUACAAACCUUCGGCGAUCGUUAGGCACUAUCGCGCACAGCGACGACACCGACACACAACUAAGACUAAACGCGAGAACACUCUCCUAACCCCUAACACCGCUGCGGUACGCUGUACGCUCACUCAUAAAGGUACAUAUCCUCCGCUGCGCCACGCGAGUGAAUUGUUGCACACUCGUCUCUAACCUCCCACGCCACCUCCCGCCACAUCUUCCCCUUCUCCGCUCCGCCACAUUUCUCAAUCAUCCACAACAGUCGAACGAGGUAGAAGAGAGAGAGGCCAAGUGUGGGUUGCUCUUUUUUUUUUCGCUGUUUUCUGUCCGUCUUCUUUUCAGCAUUCGUGAGAGCGGCGUCGUGCCAAGCGUGCCGCCCCCUCCUCCCUGCCUCCGUCCGGAGUCGCUAUUUAGUCGGUGCUUCCUUUUCCGCAAGCAGCGGUAUUCCUGGGCUUCACCUUUGGCGCCGCAGUCGUCUUCGCCGAUUGGGUUGUCUCAGCCACGGGCAUAGGCAUACACAGACAUUAACACGCACUUUCACGCGUGGCGCCUUCCCUGCCCCCAAAGGGACCGAGGCGGAAAGAAGGGAAACCGUCACGAGGUACAGGCGCACACGCCGCUAAAGAAAAACACGUACGCGGCCACCACCACGUUGCCGGCUACCCUGUUUUGCAACAGCGGCCUUCGUGCACUCUCUUCUAUUUUUUUUUUACUUUGUAUGACGUAAGUGUGCAUCCACCCCCUAACACACAGACACAGACACAUUUAUUUUUCAUAUUGAUCUCGCCACAGAAGGUGACGCAUACCCCCCGCACACGCACUUUUCAACGCACUCUCCUUGUUGCUGCGCCGAUCGGAGUGGACCCUUAAGCAGCCUUGCUGUAUCAAAAAACGCAUAGGCACUGAUAUAAACCCGAAAUACCUUGCACGCCGGCACGUAUCGGCCAUGUCCGUGUCGAAGCAGCGCAACGGCGGCGCCUCGGUGAUGGAGGUUGAAAUGACGCAGAGGGGCGCCGCAACGCAGGCGAGCAGGUGCUCUCCGCUGCCCCGCGGUGGGAACUCGGCCACUUCAGCGGCGUUUCUGAACGUCACUUCCGCGAUGCCCGCCGUGGAGAACACCGGUGAGAGUCACAUCCACGUGUGCUACCUCGACGAAGACGUGACCCAAGCGGCCUGGCACCUCGUGCCGAAUGCUGUGACGCUGAGGCAGAUGCUACGCGAACAGGACCAGUACGCGGUCUUGUCACCCUCGUCAACGAGCGUCGCCGACCAUUUGGCGAAGCUCCCAUUGCUGCCCCCCGCGCGCAUGUCAGCAGCUACGAGCGCCCCACACACGCUUCCCUCGGAGCCCACCGCUGAGAAGACGCACGGCGCAUUCGCCCUUCCGGCGAUCCGGUUGUCUCCUGCCUCUUCUAUCAACGGUGACGCUCGCCCUGCGUGGGUCAGCAUAAAGGCAGCCAGUGAGGAAGAGCUGGUGGAGGUUCUGGAGAGCCUGCCAGUGCAUGUGCUCACACGACGCCGCAUCAUCUCCGCACUCUGCACCAACACGGGCGCUGGGGAGCUCAGAGAACCUGGGAGCGGCGACUCCAGCAGUGAUACCGAGGAUACGGAGCCCUCAUCCGACAGGGGGCAUGAAAAGGGUGACUCUGCCAGACGCCACAAGACGGUGCGUGACAACUUCCUCGAGUACUUCCCAGCACACGGCUACGUUGUGCUGUGCCUGCAGGCAGUGGGACUGCAGAGUAAGGAGACAACGGAGCACGGCGCCAUCCAGAGUGACGGGAUGAGCACACAUGGCACGCAGCUGCCGUGUACACCGGUGGUGGCGUUGGCCUUCGAGUCGACGCUCUUCACCUUCAGCGCGGGUCGCUUUGGCGGCGAGGGAGACGUGCAGCUCAUCAUGGCCAACCACGCAUGGCCUACUGGAUCUUCAACAAGCACUGGUGGAGCUGGCGUGCUGGCGCUUCGCUCCGCAGCGAGCUUCGCAGCGUCGCACGCGUCAUCGAUCAGUACCCACAAGGGAGCAGAGUUGGUCGACACGGCAACACACGACUCCUCUUUGGCCGUUCGGGAGUGCCAACGCGACGCGAACCUUUCCCUUGACGAUGCGGGCAGCGUGGCUAAGGAGGGAGUCAACGGAGCAACGCCCAGAGCACCUCAUGACACAUGCACUGGCCGACGGGUGGUGCCAGAGCCACUCGCAUACCCCGCCGCUGCUGCCGCAGGUGAUCCGGUAUCCUCGUUGUCGACGGAGCGGGCGAGAGGGGCCCAGCAACCAAUGGUGCUGUUCGGCACCCCUAGCAAACCAGCAUCGCCGAACUACUGCGCCGACACAGCCAUUUCCGUCGUGUGCAGCUCGCUUGUGUCCGCCAUUAUUGCCUACUUCCAGAAGUCUACCCGUGCGCUGCUCAUCGAGGCAGACCAGCUCGACGAGCUUGUGCUUCAAAUUCUACCUUCGCGAGUUGACCAGGACGACAUGCUGCUGCGCACCAAGAACCUGCGCCACCUCAUAGCCUUCUUCCACAUAGACGCGUUGCAGAAGGAGCGAGUGCUAAAGGAGCUGCUGUUGCCGGCAAUGCGCCUGACACCGUUCUCGCGAUCCUCACAGGGAGUGGAGAGCUACCAGCGCUCGCUUUCGUCCGUCCGAAGCACGGUCCUCAGCCUAUGCAAGGGCCGCGACAUCGUCAACAGGGCGAACAUCACCCUCGUCAGUGGCGUGUCUGCACGCCUCCUGUCGCACUGCAACUUUAUGGACUACCUGAGUCACGUGCACACGCAAAUUACCGUAAUGCUGAUGCCGAUCACCAUCAUACCGAAUCUGUUUGCCAUGAACGUACGAGUGCCCUUCACGGACGCAGAGACGACGACUCCGUUCUUCUGCAUCGUGGGCUUUACGCUGGGGAUCUUGGUGCUCAGCAUUGCGCCCAUCGUGUACAAGUUCCUCAUGUACAAGGCACCUGGUGCACUGGCGACACUCGAGUAGCGAAGGAGCGACGACGAAAAAAAGCAAACAAACAAGCGAACCGCAAAGUGGGGGAGGGGCGGGAGAAGCCGAAAUAAAAAGAAGGAAAUAAGAGGUGGGCGUGCUUGAUUGUCUUGCAUCGAUUCUUCUUUCGACGAGCCGUGGCGAAAUUUUCUUGCGCGAUGCCUUUGACGUACGUGAGUUUUUGUGUGUCCGCUUCUUUCUCUGCGCGGGUGUGCUUGUGUGUGAGUGCUGGUCCGUCUCUUUAUUUUUGUGUUUUGUUUUUGUUUUGGUAGCGGGUGCCCGGCUGGGGUUUGUUUUGUGUUACGCGUCCGCCUUUUCUUUGUGUAGAGGCCAUUUUCGCGCCUCGAGCUGCAUGUGCGGCUCUUCCCUCCUUUCCUUCUCUUCCCCCAUUCUUUCCUUGAGUCGCCAUGCUCUACUACCGCCCCUUCACCUUUCCACCGCGCUGUCAUCCUUUACCUUUCCUUUUCUCGUUUUUGAUGUUCUUGACCGUAGCGCUGGCCCUCAUGAUACUAACCACCUCACCGCGGAAUCAGGGCGUAGUACCCACUCUCGGUGUCGGCGGACGGGUCUGGGGCGGCGCUGUGCGGAAGAGAUGCGCCGUCGUGAUGGUCACGCUUGGGCCGGCGCACUACGAACCCCGCGCGACGAUUCGGAAAACAUAUGCACCCGCCUACCGCUUUUCUGCCUUUGCUGCGCUGCAGUGAUGUUGAGCGUGAUCCGGGACCUCGGCUGCGCUGUGAGGCAGUGACGUUGCAAUGGACGGAACGACGCCACGCGGUGCUAGCGGGGCCGGCUCCCUGGCAUAGCUGCAGUGCCACAGAGACACGAGACCUGUGAUUGUGUAUGCGUGUAUAUCUGUUUACGUGUUCGCUCAACCAUGAACACGUUCAACAAAGAAACGUGCUCGCAUUGGGCGAACUUCUCUUUUCAUCUGUUUUGUUCGUGUCACCGUCUCCGGCUC
rnacentral:misc_RNA from 1 species